rnacentral:rRNA from 1 species
UGCUACAAUGGAUAGUACAAAGGGUCGCGAAGCCGCGAGGUGGAGCUAAUCCCAUAAAACUAUUCUCAGUUCGGAUUGUAGGCUGCAACUCGCCUACAUGAAGCCGGAAUCGCUAGUAAUCGUGGAUCAGCAUGCCACGGUGAAUACGUUCCCGGGCCUUGUACACACCGCCCGUCACACCACGAGAGUUUGUAACACCCGAAGUCGGUAGGGUAACCUUUAUGGAGCCAGCCGCCGAAGGUGGGACAGAUAAUUGGGGUGAAGUCGUAACAAGGUAGCCGUAUCGGAAGGUGCGGCUGGAUCACCUCCUUUCUAAGGAA